CCUGGUUCAGUAAUGGCGGAGCCAGAAGGGACAAAGUUGGGAAGUCAGGAGGGGCUUGGCCAGGAGACGCAGGAGGCACUUUACUGGCCGGAGCCUUGGAAGGUGAGGAAUAUAAGGAUUUUCGUAGCCCUCUUGGAGUAAAAGAAAAAUAGUGAAAAGAAUCCAAAGAUGGGACCAUUCCAGAGGAAGAAAUUGCUUGUGUACAUGAUACAAGGAAACCAGGUACCACCUUACGGAGCUCAUCAUUAUUUCUAUUUUAAAGGUGUGUCAGUGUCACGUCUUGUGCAAACCCUCAAAUGAUAACAUUUGCACUCAGAGCACAAAGGAACACACCGCACCCACUUACCACCUUGGCCCCGUUUGUGGGCCAGGCCCCCUGAAGAGGGGGCCUCAAGAAAACACUGUCCUUCCGCGAACAGUGAAAAAAACUAAGCCUGGAGAACACGUCUGUUCUUUUGACCUUUGCAAGGUCGGCCUCAUGUUUAUUCUGCAUCCUAUACCUUCUCAUUUUGUCAGCUAAAUACAUGGGGCAGCGCAAAGUAGGAAUUGAAUUGCAUGUGGGUGAGCAGUGUUUUGCCUUCAUUAGCAUAUCAUUACGUUGCAGCUGGAGGUCUCACUUCCACUAAACACAACUCCUGGUCUUCCACGGGGUCUGCGUGUGAGUGUUGGGGCUGCUGCUUCCCCCCAAUGCAGGCCAGGUGUGCUGUUUGUGAGGCCCACGGUUUUUAGAGGGAAAAACAGACACAUUGGUUUGAAAUGAGAAAUGUCAGGUGUAGCCGAGGAACUGGCUGGUUUCACUGAGCCUGUAAGUUUUUGGGUUUGAUGGAACUCAGUUCCAUCAGAGGCUGUUCCCGGUUUAUCUACAUCUGAAUUUUCAUGCAUACAUUUGACCUGUUGUGAAAAAUGACUCAAUGGUCCCUUAUUCUCUUUCUUCCCCUUCCUUACCACUUAAUAGUAUGACACACAGUGAAAAAUAUAAUUUAUGCCCAGGCUGGUGUGACCGAGUUGGUUGGAGCAUCGUCCUGUAGCUGAAGGGUUGUGGGUUCAAUUCCUGAUCAGGGCGCAUACUUAGGUUGCAGGUUUGAUCCCCGGUCGGAGCACAUACAGGAGGCAGCUGUUCAAUAUUUCUCUUUCACGUUGCUGUUUCUCUCUCCCUUCUCUCUCUAAAAGCAAUGAAAAAAUGUCCUUGGGUGAGAAUAGUAUAUGAAUAUAUAUAUACACACAUACAAUAUAUAUGUAAGUAUAUAAAAUAUAUAAGCCCAUAUAUAUAUAAUUUAUAACCCGAGAGGCAUUAUUUCUGUAAACAUCAUUUCUCCCUAAGAAUUGUGACGGAUGGAACUUGUUUAGGUUGAGAAUAGAAUUCCAUACAGAAUCAUGGGGGAAGCUCGGGUUCUGAGGUCUGAUGACUCACUCACUACCUGGGUACACAAACAGUUUCUUAAUCUCUCAGUGUGACAGUUUUCUCACCUGCGAAAGGGGAAUUGCAUUGGUUCUUGGCAUCCGGAGGAUUACAGGAGAUGACGGGGAAAUAUACUGAGCAUGGCGUGUGGUGCGGAGGGAGCGCCAGGCAGGGCCAGCUCUCAGGGUUGUCCUCUUGAUGUGGUUGCCAUCACUGCCGGAUGACGGCACUGCUGUCCACGUACUGGCCCCAGUGUGGGAAUCAGACUCAGCCGAGCAGCGGGGCUGUGGGGGGAAGGCACGCAAGCACAUCUUCGUGAAGCCACGCGUCUGCCACCAGAGCACGGCUCCGUUUUCAGUCCACACAGUCUCAGCCUCAAUGACUGGCCCGAAUGAUGCUCCUCCCAUGACUCCAGCUCUUUGUCAGCUCCCUGGGCACUUGUCCCUUUGGGUGUUUCCAGGGGAGCAGUUACAUCUAAAAUAAUGAUGGCUCCAGCAUCUACAAUCCAUAAAAAGGAAAUCUCAUAAAAGCUAAAUGGGUAUUCUGUGUAUAACAGGCUCAGAAUAAGUAUUCCCAAUGGACUCAAGUUUUAUUAGAUUUAGAAGCAGUUAAAAAGUUUUUAACCAGAAUAGUUUUCCUUUCUCUCCAGCUCCUCCUUGUUUUUUAAAACCAAACCAAUACACCUCCUCCAGGAGCCCCAAAGGCCAGCUGUAACUACCUCACAGGUGAGAACGCUAGGAAACUAAUUUGCAGCUGCAGUGAGCUGGGUCUACCAUGAACACAGGCAGAAGCACUGUUAACAUUCUACCUUCAAAGAAAGAAAAGCACUAGUAUUUGUUUUCUUAAAGAUGUGGAGAAAUCAGUAGCCCUCAUGGAGUUAAUGCAGCAACUGACAGUUCUGCUCUGCCCUAGGAGACGACUUUUUGUUCCAGCUCCUGCCAGUCUAGCUGGGGAAACAGUCUUCAAAUUCCUACAGAAAGGGAAAGAGCACUCUCAAAGCCACAGGGGAGCUGCCUUAUAUAGACACAAGUCCCUGCCCCUGGUCCCUGAUUGGCCCAUCCUCAUGUAAAUGAGGAUUUCAAAUCUUCAAAAUUUGAUAGGUCCAAAAAAACUCCUGAUUGGUUGGUAAAGAUAUUGAUGGGUGGGGACAUAGCUGUGCACUUUUUUCUUUUUUAAAAAUAUUUCAUUGAUUAUGCUAUUACAGUUGUCCCAUUUUUUUCUCCCCUUUAUUCCCCUCUGUCCUGUACUCCCCCUCCCACUAACAUUCUCCCACCUUUGUUCAUGCCCAUGGGUCAUGCAUAUAAGUUCUUUGGCUUCUUCAUUUCCCAUGCUAUUCUUAACUCCCCCCUGUUUAUUUUGUGCCUACCAAUUAUGCUUCUUAUUCCCUGUACUUUUUCCCUCAUUCUCCUCCCACCCCCUC